GACGAACGCUGGCGGCGUGCUUAACACAUGCAAGUCGUACGGUAAGGCCCUUUCGGGGGUACACGAGUGGCGAACGGGUGCGUAACACGUGAGUAACCUGCCCACAACUUUGGGAUAACGCUAGGAAACUGGGGCUAAUACUGGAUAUGUGCUCCUGCUGCAUGGUGGGGGUUGGAAAGCUCCGGCGGUUGUGGAUGGACUCGCGGCCUAUCAGCUUGUUGGUGGGGUAGUGGCCUACCAAGGCGGCGACGGGUAGCCGGCCUGAGAGGGUGACCGGCCACAUUGGGACUGAGAUACGGCCCAGACUCCUACGGGAGGCAGCAGUGGGGAAUAUUGCACAAUGGGCGCAAGCCGGAUGCAGCAACGCCGCGGGCGGGAUGGCGGCCUUCGGGUUGUAAACCGCUUUCAGCAGGGACGAAGCUUUUUGUGACGGUACCUGCAGAAGAAGCACCGGCUAACUACGUG
rnacentral:rRNA from 1 species